AAAGAAUAAAGAGUCCAGGCAAAAAUGGGCAUCCCGGCGAACCAAGAAAAAAAGAGAAAGGUUCGGGCAAAAAUUAGGGAUAUAAAUAGAAAAAAACUGUACACCCGGCAAGUUGAAAACCCGCAAGGGCGACUUGGGCAAAAAAGGGUAUCCCGGUGGACUGAAACCCGAAAGGGCGGUCCAGGCAAAAGAGGGAAUAAAACGAACAACUGCGUCUAGCAUGAUCAUUUGUGCUCAUGAUGACUUGGAUAAUCUCCGACAGAGACCGAUCGGAAGCGUCUUGUUCAGAAGACAGAAGGUGCGGAAAGUCCUGAAGACAUAUGAGGUGUAACUAAGUUGGAACCCGAUGAGAUCACGGUUUCACGUUGCCAUUAGGAUAGAUUUUUCCUUUUGUGUGCAAUCACCUCUUUCCAGGGUUUGCUUCCUGUGUGUUGCUCGAUUGUGAGCCAUCUUUUAUUCCAGUAAAAUAAAGCGUGUGUUCAGUCAAAUAAUUUUGUUUUGUUGUCAUUACCGUUUUGAUUACGAAAACAUCCGUUUAUUUUGAUAAGAAUAUUUGCAUUUUGAAACAUAGAGGUCUCUUCCAAUGCAUGCUUGUAUGAUUGAAAUCUGGAAAUCUUACCUGGAAGUCUGAGUGACCUAAGUGUUGAAAUAUCAGAACACCUGGGGCAUACCUGGGGCACGUUUUUAUCUGACGAUCUCUUGUGCAGAGCCUGAUUAGGGGCAACGGAUAGUUGAGCGGUGAAAAGACGGUGAAGGAUUACGACCACGGUCCUGGAAAAUUAAUCAAGAAGACUCUUCAAAGUCUGAUGAUUGGAAAGUUUGUAUGAAUACCAGGAGUUCGAUCCCCGUGGAGUACGGACGAGAUUUGGAAUACAAGAUGAUGGAGCAGAAAAGUCCAGAAGAGUCUGGGAGUUCUUAAAAGUGGAAAGUCAACACUAUGGGUGGAUGAUGGAUACCAGUGUUCGACGAGUCGACCGACACCCCCGUCAAACAGGCUGUAUCUCCCCAGAGGAUUNNN
rnacentral:lncRNA from 1 species